rnacentral:lncRNA from 1 species
CAGAAUGUGUUUUGACUCAGUUUAAUGUCUUUUUCAGGCUGAUGAUCUUUCUUCUACAUUUCCUCGCUGAUCACCUGAGGCUUGCCCCACAGCCAUGGGGAAUCAGAUGAGGGCAAUGCUGAUCUAUCUGAAGUACAAAGACACCUUCCUCUUGACCACUGUCCUUGGGUUGGGGCGGAUGCAAGGUAGGAGGAGCAGAGGGCUGAGCCAGGACAUCGUCCACCAGAGAAGUCCGGCUGGCUCCUAACCUGUCAUUUCUGAGAAUCUGGUUUCCAGGCCUCUGAUUCACCCAAAGGGGCUUCCUUGCCUCCAUCACGGCAGGAUGCAGAGGUGCCCGUGCUGACUCUGAGCGAGGAGGUUUGCAGUCCAGAAGCAGCAGGGCUGUUUUAAAUGAGGCUCUGCCCAGGGUAAUCAGCCCAUCUUGACAAACACAAGAUGUUAUUCCUUGCUACAGGGCCUUCUACCCAAGCGGCCUCCGGAGAGCGUAAUAGUGAACGACAGCCCCAGUUGUGCCUUGGGCAACGCCGCAUCCCCGGACGGCGCCUGCGGGUCCCUCCGCUGCCGGUCCACAGCCUCCGCGGGGGCCUCACGGAUUUUCCCUGCUGGUUCCCGGUUCAGGUGCGCACGUCCCAGCUGCAGCAACCCUCCUCCUCCUCCUCCUUCUCCUCCUCCUCCUCCUCCUCCUCCUCCUCCUCCUGCUCCUGCCCGGCGCACGGUUUCCCGGCGCACGUGGCCGGGAGGGGAGCCGGCGCGCGGAGCAGCGGUGCAGCUGCGAACGGCCGCGCUGCCAAGCGGGACCGGCUUCGCGCGGGGAAUAAUUGCUAGGUGCUUU